AAUAUUAUUAUUAUUUUGGCAGAUUAGUGCAAUCAAUUUAGAAUUC
rnacentral:tRNA from 1 species